rnacentral:rRNA from 1 species
UACGAAGGAUGCAAGCGUUAUCCGGAUUCAUUGGGUUUAAAGGGAGCGUAGGCGGAUUGGUAAGUCAGUGGUGAAAUCUUUGGGCUUAACCCAGAAACUGCCAUUGAUACUGCUGAUCUAGAGUACAGUUGCCGUUGGCGGAAUAUGACAUGUAGUGGUGAAAUACUUAGAUAUGUCAUAGAACACCGAUUGCGAAGGCAGCUAACGAAGCUGUAACUGACGCUGAGGCUCGAAAGUGCGGGGAUCAAACAGG